rnacentral:rRNA from 1 species
UACGUAGGGUCCAAGCGUUGUCCGGAUUUAUUGGGCGUAAAGAGCUCGUAGGCGGUUCGGUAAGUCGGAUGUGAAAACUCAGGGCUCAACCCGGAGACGCCACCUGAUACUGCUGUGGCUUGAGUCCGGUAGGGGAGCGUGGAAUUCCUGGUGUAGCGGUGAAAUGCGCAGAUAUCAGGAGGAACACCAGCGGCGAAGGCGGCGCUCUGGGCCGGAACUGACGCUGAGGAGCGAAAGCGUGGGUAGCAAACAGG